CGACCGGCGCACGGGUGAGUAACGCGUAUGCAACCUGCCCGAUACCGGGGUAUAGCCCAUGGAAACGUGGAUUAACACCCCAUAGUACUUUCAUCCUGCAUGGGAUGUGAGUUAAAUGUUCAAGGUAUCGGAUGGGCAUGCGUCCUAUUAGUUAGUUGGCGGGGUAACAGCCCACCAAGACGAUGAUAGGUAGGGGUUCUGAGAGGAAGGUCCCCCACAUUGGAACUGAGACACGGUCCAA
rnacentral:rRNA from 1 species